rnacentral:rRNA from 1 species
UUCCAGACUCCUACGGGAGGCAGCAGUGAGGAAUAUUGGUCAAUGGGCGCGAGCCUGAACCAGCCAAGUCGCGUGAGGGAAGACGGUCCUAUGGAUUGUAAACCUCUUUUGUCGGGGAGCAAAGAGAGUCACGUGUGACUCAUUGAGAGUACCCGAAGAAAAAGCAUCGGCUAACUCCGUGCCAGCAGCCGCGGUAAUACGGAGGAUGCGAGCGUUAUCCGGAUUUAUUGGGUUUAAAGGGUGCGCAGGCGGAGGUGCAAGUCAGCGGUCAAAUUGCGGGGCUCAACCCCGUACUGCCGUUGAAACUGGCGUUCUUGAGUGGGCGAGAAGUAUGCGGAAUGCGUGGUGUAGCGGUGAAAUGCAUAGAUAUCACGCAGAACUCCGAUUGCGAAGGCAGCAUACCGGCGCCCAACUGACGCUGAAGCACGAAAGCGUGGGUAUCGAACAGGAUUAGAUACCCUCGUACG